rnacentral:rRNA from 1 species
UUAAGCAUAUCAAUAAGCGGAGGAAAAGAAACUAACAAGGAUUCCCCUAGUAACGGCGAGCGAAGCGGGAAGAGCUCAAAUUUGAAAUCUGGUGGCCUCAGGUCAUCCGAGUUGUAAUCUAUAGAAGUGUUUUCCGUGCUGGCCCAUGUACAAGUCCCUUGGAACAGGGCGUCAUAGAGGGUGAGAAUCCCGUCCUUGACAUGGACUACCAGUGCUCUGUGAUACACUUUCAACGAGUCGAGUUGUUUGGGAAUGCAGCUCAAAAUGGGUGGUAAAUUCCAUCUAAAGCUAAAUAUUGGCGAGAGACCGAUAGCGAACAAGUACCGUGAGGGAAAGAUGAAAAGCACUUUGGAAAGAGAGUUAAACAGUAUGUGAAAUUGUUGAAAGGGAAACGAUUGAAGUCAGUCGUGCUCAAUGGACUCAGCCGUUCUGCGGUGUAUUUCCAUUGGGUGGGGUCAACAUCAGUUUUGAUCGCUGGAUAAAGGCAGGAGGAAUGUAGCACCCCCGGGUGAACUUAUAGCCUCUUGUCACAUACAGUGGUUGGGACUGAGGAACGCAGCAUGCCUUUAUGGCCGGGAUUCGUCCACGUACAUGCUUAGGAUGUUGACAUAAUGGCUUUAAACGACCC